AUUUUCGUUUUCAACAGCUUUGAUGAGCUCCUGGGGUUGUUGGGCACCCGUUUAGAACGUCAGGACACCUUCAUGCGGGACAGUAUACCACCAGCGGAAAGACUGAUUAUUACUUUGCGCUAUUUAGCUACUGGCCACUCUUUGAUCAGUCUUCACUACACCUUCCUGAUCGGGAAAUCCACAGCCAGUGUGAUCGUGAAGGAAACCUGCAUCGCCAUUUGGCAUGUCCUUCAUGCUGCUGUGAUGGGCCAACCAAACAAGGAGUAGUGGCUGAAAAUUGCGGAUACUUUU